rnacentral:rRNA from 1 species
UCUGGUUGAUCCUGCCAGUAGUCAUACGCUUGUCUCAAAGAUUAAGCCAUGCAUGUCUAAGUAUAAAGGUUACAUACAAUGAAACUGCGAAUGGCUCAUUCAAACAGUUAUAGUUUAUUUGGAUUUACACAUUAGUUAAAUGGAUAACCGUAGUAAUUCUAGGGCUAAUACAUGCGUUACGGGGGACUUUACGGAACCCCAGUAUUUAUUAGAUUCAAACCAAUAUUCCGAAGGUCUACUUGAGAUGAUUCAUGAUAACUGAUCGAAUUGCUGGUCUACCGGCAAUAAGUCAUUCAUGUUUCUGCUUCCCAUCAGCUUGAUGGUAGUGUAUUGGACAACCAUGGCAUUCACGGGCUAUCGGGGGAUUAGGGUUCGAUUCCGGAGAGGGAGCCUGAGAAACGGCUACCACUUCUACGGAAGGCAGCAGGCGCGAAAAUUAUCCAAUCCUGAUUCAGGGAGGUAGUGAAACAAAUAAUGAACUAGGAUUUAUCCUGGGGUCACAAUGGGCUUGAUUUGCAAACUUUAUUUAGCGAGGAACAAUUGGAGGGCAAGUCUGGUGCCAGCAGCCGCGGUAAUUCCAGCUCCAAUAGUGUAUAUUAAUGUUCCUGCAGUUAUUCGAUGCUCGUAGUUGGAUUUCUGGAGGCUGAGAUCGGAGGGUAGCCAAGGUUACCGCUGAACUCUUCCUUCAUCCACCUGUUAACGUUGUCCGGGAUUCGUUUCUCGGCUUCGGGCUCAGGCAUAUACUUUUACCCUUUUUCUAUAUUUAUUGUUUGAGUAAAUUAUAGUGUUUCAGGCAGGCGUGCGCCGGAAUACUUUAGCAUGGAAUAAUCGAAUUGGACCGUGUAUUCUUAUUGAAUUCUUCCUUAUUGUUGGUUCAAGGACACGGAAAUGGUUAAUAGGGAUAGUGUUUUUAUUAUCAGGGGAGGCAUUAGUAUUUAAUUUCCAGAGGUGAAAUUCUUUGAAAUAUUAAAGACUAACUUAUGCGAAAGCAUUUAUUAUUGCCAAUAAUGUUUUCAUUAAUCAUUGAACGAAAGUUAGGGGAUCAAAGACGAUCAGAUACCGUCCUAGUCUUAACCAUAAACGUUGCCGACUAGGGAUCGGAGGGCGUGCACAUUCCGCCUUCGGCACCUUACGAGAAAUCAAAGUCUUUUGGGUUCUGGGGGUAGUAUGGUCGCAAGGCUGAAACUUAAAGGAAUUGACGGAAGGGCACCACCAGGAGUGGAGCUUGCGGCUCAAUUUGACUCAACACGGGAAAUCUUACCAGGUCCAGACAUAGCGAGGAUUGACAGAUUGAUAGCUCUUUCUUGAUUCUAUGGGUAUUUUUUAUAUAUUUUUGGUGGUGCAUGGCCGUUCUUAGUUGGUGGAGUGAUUUGUCUGGUUAAUUCCGUUAAACGAACGAGACCUCAGCCUGCUAAAUAGUUACCUGUCUUUUCAUUUUUAAUAAUUACGAGACUUGAUAACUUCUUAGAGGGACGUUGUGUGCAACCACAAGGAAGUUGAGGCAAUAACAGGUCUGUGAUGCCCUUAGAUGUCCUGGGCCGCACGCGUGCUA